CAAAAAUCGAUAAACUACCCCUCACGGGAACCUCCGACAUGGAGAAGAGACCCCCUAAGAAGCAAGGGAAAAAAACGGCCGACAUUGGGACCUCCAGCUCCGUCCUAGACCACUUCCCCAUGCACAAACAAGGCCGUGCAGGAAGUCAAGAUGGCGACGGGAGCUCCCCACAAAUAUCACCGAGGGCGGCCAGGGAAGCCCCACUCCAUGACCAAGAUACCGUUUUGGCCAAACUCGCUGAAGUCAGGGCCUUCUUGGCAGGAGAAAUAGCCAACUCAACGGCAAUUCUCCAAGCAGAGAUAGGGGCCCUGGGAAAACGCACGGCCAUCUUGGAAGAGCGCAUGGAGACCACAACGCUAGCCCACAACGCGCUUAUAGAUCGAGUAAACCGUAUGACCUCACAUCUGGUGGAAACCGACCUAACAUUGGAAGAUAUGGCCAACCGGUCACGGAGAAAUAACCUCCGCAUUCGGGGCCUCCCUGAGGAGAAAGACGAGGAUUUAAAGGGGAUACUACUCUCUGCCCUGAAGCCUCUCCUGCCCGCCUUAUCGGAGGAACAGUGGCACAUGGAAAGGGCACAUAGAGCCCUGAGACCUCAGAAGAUCGACACCAACACCCCGCGGGACGUAAUCGUCCGCUUCCUAUACUAUAGCACGAAGGAAGCGCUGAUGGGGAAAAGCCG
rnacentral:lncRNA from 1 species